AACGAACGCUGGCGGCAUGCCUAACACAUGCCAGUCGAACGAGACCUUCGGGUCUAGUGGCGCACGGGUGCGUAACGCGUGGGAACCUGCCCUUAGGUUCGGAAUAACUCCCCGAAAGGGGUGCUAAUACCGGAUAAUGUCUUCGGACCAAAGAUUUAUCGCCUUUGGAUGGGCCCGCGUUGGAUUAGCUAGUUGGUAGGGUAAAAGCCUACCAAGGCGACGAUCCAUAGCUGGUCUGAGAGGAUGAUCAGCCACACUGGGACUGAGACACGGCCCAGACUCCUACGGGAGGCAGCAGUGGGGAAUAUUGGACAAUGGGCGAAAGCCUGAUCCAGCAAUGCCGCGUGAGGGAUGAAGGCCUUAGGGUUGUAAAGCUCUUUUACCCGGGAUGAUAAUGACAGUACCGGGAGAAUAAGCUCCGGCUAACUCCGUG
rnacentral:rRNA from 1 species